GAUAUAAGACGUCGUCAAGUGAAUUUGAACUACCAAGUUUUUGUUUCUUCGGGUUUACGACUUUUUAUUUGGUGACAAUGUGAUGGGCAAAAAUUAAUUACUAGUUAUAAAACUCGUAUGUAUAUACACAUGUGAUGAAAUAAAAUUUGAAAGAAUAACGGUGUCGUGUGUGAAUACAUAAAGUGUUUUAAUGGAAACGUACUGAAUCAUACUCCUUUUAAAUGAGUAUAAAUUAACAUGACCUGCAUAUCAAAACAAGCACGGAUUAUAAGGCAACAAAAACAUAUCAAAAAAUAUUUAUCUAAAUCUAAAUAGAGAAACGUCGUUAUUAC
rnacentral:misc_RNA from 1 species